rnacentral:rRNA from 1 species
AUUGAACGCUGGCGGAAUGCUUUACACAUGCAAGUCGAACGGCAGCACGGGGCAACCUGGUGGCGAGUGGCGAACGGGUGAGUAAUACAUCGGAACGUGCCCAAUCGUGGGGGAUAACGUAGCGAAAGUUACGCUAAUACCGCAUACGAUCUACGGAUGAAAGCGGGGGAUCGCAAGACCUCGCGCGAAUGGAGCGGCCGAUGUCAGAUUAGGUAGUUGGUGGGGUAAAGGCUCACCAAGUCAACGAUCUGUAGCUGGUCUGAGAGGACGACCAGCCACACUGGAACUGAGACACGGUCCAGACUCCUACGGGAGGCAGCAGUGGGGAAUUUUGGACAAUGGGCGCAAGCCUGAUCCAGCCAUUCCGCGUGCAGGAUGAAGGCCUUCGGGUUGUAAACUGCUUUUGUACGGAACGAAACGGCGAGCUCUAAUACAGUUUGCUAAUGACGGUACCGUAAGAAUAAGCACCGGCUAACUACGUG